CAGUAGCCGCGGUAAUACGUAGGGGGCGAGCGUUGUCCGAAGUUACUGGGCGUAAAGCGCGCGUAGGCGGCUUCUUAAGUCUGAGGUGAAAGGUUCAACGCUUAACGUGAACAGUGCCUUGGAUACUGGGGAGCUUGAGUAUGGGAGAGGGCAGUGGAAUGGCUGGUGUAGCGGUGAAAUGCGUAGAUAUCAGUCGGAACACCCAUGGCGAAGGCAGCUGCCUGGCCUAAUACUGACGCUGAGGUGCGAAAGCGUGGGGAGCGAACGGGAUUAGAUACCCGCGUAGUCCCUGUCUCUUAUA
rnacentral:rRNA from 1 species